AAGUCGUAACAAGUUUACCGUGAGGUGAACCUGCGGAAGGAUCCAAUUGAAACGAAAUUCAAGGGGACAGUUCGCGGCCAAGUUUUCACCCUUUGUAUACCGAAACCAUGUUGCUUUGGCAGGCCCCUGCAUUUCUCGGGCCUGCCAGAGGUUAUAAACCCAGAAAUCUCUGCUGUCUGAGUACUAUACAAUAGUUAAAA
rnacentral:misc_RNA from 1 species